rnacentral:rRNA from 1 species
UACGUAGGUGGCAAGCGUUGUCCGGAUUUAUUGGGCGUAAAGGGAGCGCAGGUGGUUUCUUAAGUCUGAUGUGAAAGCCCACGGCUCAACCGUGGAGGGUCAUUGGAAACUGGGGAACUUGAGUGCAGAAGAGGAAAGUGGAAUUCCAAGUGUAGCGGUGGAAUGCGUAGAUAUUUGGAGGAACACCAGUGGCGAAGGCGACUUUCUGGUCUGUAACUGACACUGAGGCUCGAAAGACGUGGGGAGGCAAACAGGAUUAGAUACCCUCGUAGUCCCUCGA